GUUGCAAUGAGCAGAGAUGGUGCCAUUGCACUCCAGUCUGGCCAACAAGAGCGAGACUCCAUCUUAAACAAAUAAAAAACAGAAAAUGCACCACUCAACUUUACUGUUGUAGAGAACAUAAUAGACUGGCAGCCCCAGGUGCUGCCCCGCCUGGGUCCACUCAGCAUUUGAGUUUGCACUGAGGCUUCCCAGCCAGCCAGUGACAGAGCACAUGGGGUACUGGCCCAUUCCUGGGAGACACAGGACACCUAGAACAGUCAGCUUUGGCUCAAGGACUCUCCAUUAGCCUGGCUGAAACUUUAUUAGAUGUGCAGGGCCCUCUGAGGCUCUUCUUACCUAAACCUUCCUGCCCGUUUCUUUUCACAGGAGUAGACCUGCUUCGAGGUCUAAAGGACCCCCUGCCUCCUCUGCCUCUCUUUAUCAUCCAUUGGUGUUUCUUCCACAAAUCUUGUUUUAUUCUGGGCAUAUAUAUGUUUGGAGGUGUGUGUAUGUUUGGGGAACCUUUGAAUUUGGAAGUACCAAGGUGAGGAGAGACUUAUGGAAUUUAGAAGCUUUGGCAGGAACUAAGCACUGUGUUUCUUAGAAUGAGCAGCUCUUUCUACUUGAAAGGCUGAGGCAGAGGAUCGCUUGAUCCCAGGGAUUUGAAGCUGGCUGCAGUGAGCUAUGAUCACACCACUACUCUCCAGCCUAGGUGACACAGCAAGACUCUGUAAAAAAUGAAGAAGAAGAAAGAAGAAGAAGAAGAAGAAGAAGAAGAAGAGGAAGAGGAAGAGGAAGAAGAAGAAGAAGAAGAAGAAGAAGAAGAAGAAGAAGAAGAAGAAGAAGAAGAAGAAGAAGAAGAACAGGCCAUGUGAGGUUGCCACACCUGUAAUCCUAGCACAUUGGGAGGCUGAGGUGGGAAGAUCACUUGAGGUCAGGAGUUCGAGACCAGUCUGGCCAACAUGGUGAAACCCUGUCUCUAAUAAAAAUACAAAAAUUAGUCAGGUAUGGUAAUGGGUGCCUGUAGUCCCAGCUACGUGGGAGGCUGAGGCAGCAGAAUCACUUGAACCUGGGUGGCAGAGGUUGCAGUGAACCAAGAUCAUGCCACUGUACUCCAGCCUGGGUGACAGAGUAAGACUCUAUCUCAAAAACAACAACAACAAACAAACAAAAAUAGUUCCUUAAGCUCUAUAAGGAACGACCCAGGCCAGAAACCUGCCAAAUCCUGUCCAGUACUAUGAUCUACAAAACGGAUCUGCCUCAGGAAAGCCAGGGAAGGUGGGGCUGGAUGGAGUGUGUUCCAGCUGGAACAUCUGCUCUGGGCCAGGCACAGUGGGGAAAGCCAAGGUGGAUUCACUAUGGCCCUGAUCUCAUGAUUGGGGGUCUCCCUUUGUUGCCCAGGCUGGAAUGCAGUGGCGUGAUCAUGGCACACUGCAGCCUUCAAUUCCUGAACUCAAGCGAUCUUUCUGCCUCAGCCUCCCGAGUAGCUAAAACUACUGGUGCACAGCACCACACUUGGCUAAUUUUCAAAGACUUUUGGUAGAGAUGGAGUCUCCUAUGUUGCCCAGGCUGGGGCUGUUACCUGCAGCAUAAUCUAGCCUAUCCUGUCUACUAAAGGCACUGAAUUUGAGAGACAGUACUGUAAUAUAAUGAGGCCAUCUAGAUGUUCCAG
rnacentral:lncRNA from 1 species